rnacentral:tRNA from 1 species
AGCUCCGUGGUGAAUAGAUCAUGUUGAAUUGCAAAUUCAAAGAAGCAGCUUUAACGCUGCCGGGGCUUC